rnacentral:tRNA from 1 species
UCCCUGGAGGACUAGUGUUUAGGCCACCAGUGGUCUCACCGCCGUGGCCCGGGUUCGAUUCCCGGCCAGGGGA